rnacentral:rRNA from 1 species
AGAGUUUGAUCCUGGCUCAGAUUGAACGCUGGCGGAAUGCUUUACACAUGCAAGUCGAACGGCAGCACGGGAGCUUGCUCCUGGUGGCGAGUGGCGAACGGGUGAGUAAUGCGUCGGAACGUACCGAGUAAUGGGGGAUAACGCAGCGAAAGUUGUGCUAAUACCGCAUACGCCCUGAGGGGGAAAGUGGGGGAUCGCAAGACCUCACGUUAUUCGAGCGGCCGACGUCUGAUUAGCUAGUUGGUGGGGUAAAGGCCUACCAAGGCGACGAUCAGUAGCGGGUCUGAGAGGAUGAUCCGCCACACUGGGACUGAGACACGGCCCAGACUCCUACGGGAGGCAGCAGUGGGGAAUUUUGGACAAUGGGGGCAACCCUGAUCCAGCCAUUCCGCGUGAGUGAAGAAGGCCUUCGGGUUGUAAAGCUCUUUCAGCAGGAACGAAACGGUGCGCUCUAACAUAGCGUGCUAAUGACGGUACCUGCAGAAGAAGCACCGGCUAACUACGUGCCAGCAGCCGCGGUAAUACGUAGGGUGCGAGCGUUAAUCGGAAUUACUGGGCGUAAAGCGUGCGCAGGCGGAUUGUUAAGCAAGACGUGAAAUCCCCGGGCUUAACCUGGGAAUGGCGUUUUGAACUGGCAGUCUAGAGUGUGUCAGAGGGGGGUGGAAUUCCACGUGUAGCAGUGAAAUGCGUAGAGAUGUGGAGGAACACCAAUGGCGAAGGCAGCCCCCUGGGAUAACACUGACGCUCAUGUACGAAAGCGUGGGUAGCAAACAGGAUUAGAUACCCUGGUAGUCCACGCCCUAAACGAUGUCAACUGGUUGUUGGGGGAGUGAAAUCCCUUAGUAACGAAGCUAACGCGUGAAGUUGACCGCCUGGGGAGUACGGUCGCAAGAUUAAAACUCAAAGGAAUUGACGG